rnacentral:rRNA from 1 species
UACGUAGGGGGCGAGCGUUGUCCGGAGUUACUGGGCGUAAAGCGCACGCAGGCGGUCUGCUAAGUUUGGAGUGACAGUUGGUGGCUUAACUGCCAAAGUGUUUCGAAAACUGACAGACUUGAGGGCUUCAGAGGGACACGGAAUUCCGGGUGGAGUGGUGAAAUGCGUAGAGAUCCGGAGGAACACCAAAGGCGAAGGCAGUGUCCUGGGGAGUACCUGACGCUCAGGUGCGAAAGCCAGGGGAGCGAACGGG